GAAAAAACAGCUCAUAUAUUAUCAUCAUUUGUCUUAAAAGAAAAACAAAUAUUACGUCUGUCAUAGGUUUCCCCACCACUGCACUAGGCUACACAACCUAAAGGCUCCACCACCUCCCAGUGGCACCAGGAGCUGGGGACCAAUCCUUUAACACACAGCUUCUGGAGGGCAUCCCAGAACCAAAUGAUUGCAGCUCCAUAACCUGCCCUCAACCCAGGUCAAACUCUGAGGUUCAGGGUCAAAUGACAAAAGCUUUGUGUUGGCCCAGCAUCCCUCUCACAACUAGAGAAAAUGAAGAGCUACUGCAGAGACAAUUGAUUGACUACAACCUUGUGUCUCCUGGGCUAAAUUGGAUUUUUUGCUACAUUCUCAAUAUAAUGUCAGAAGGAAAAGAAUGUCAGUUUUUCAUGACCACAAGAUCUGCUAUGCUGAUUCUGCACAGUAGUACCCAGCUCAAAUGAGAAAGACACCCAGAAAAGCAAAAGUAAUCCUGAAUAACAAGAGCAAAGCAAGAGGCAUCACAAUACCAGAUUUGAAGUUAUACUACAAAGUUACAGUGAUAAAAACAGCAUGGUGCUGGCACAAAAACAAACACGUGGAUCAGUGCAACAGAAGAGAGAAAGCAGAACCAACAGUAGGCACGUUAAACCAUCUGGUCUUUGACAAAGGGGCCAAAAGCAUAUGCUGGAAGAAUGAUAGCCUCUUUAGUAAAUGAUGCUAGGGGAAAUGGCUGUACAUACACAUGCUAAAGGUUGAAUCUAGACUGUAUGUCUCACUACACACCAAAAUGAAAUAAAAAUAUUUCAAAUAUCUAAAUAUUAAAACAGAAACACUUAAUCUCCUGGAAGAUAAAAUAGAUAAAACUCUUGAGGACUUAGGCAAGGACUUUCUGAACAAAACUUCAAUGGCACAAGAAAUAACAUCAAGAAUGAACAAAUGCAAAUGUGUCAGAUUAAAAUCUUCUGCACAGCAAAAGAAACAACCAACAAAGUAAAGAGACAACCUAUAGAAU